AAUUCCUUGUCGGGUAAGUUCCGACCUGCACGAAUGGUGUAACGACUUGGGCACUGUCUCGGCCAUGAGCUCGGUGAAAUUGUAGUAGCGGUGAAGAUGCCGCUUACCCGCAACGGGACGGAAAGACCCCAUGAACCUUUACUAUAGCUUUGCAUUGACAAUGGGUAAAAGAUGUGUAGGAUAGGUGGGAGGCUACGAAGCGGUGUCGCCAGGCAUCGUGGAGCCACUGUUGAAAUACCACCCUUCUUUUACUUGUUGCCUAACCCGCUGUAUUGCGGGGACAUUGCAUGGUGGGUAGUUUGACUGGGGUGGUCGCCUCCAAAAAAGUAUCGGAGGCUUUCAAAGGUUCCCUCAGCAUGUUUGGUAAUCAUGCGUGGAGUGCAAUAGCAUAAGGGAGCUUGACUGUGAGACUAACAAGUCGAUCAGGGUCGAAAGACGGAUAUAGUGAUCCGGUGGUUCUGUAUGGAAGGGCCAUCGCUCAACGGAUAAAAGGUACUCUGGGGAUAACAGGCUGAUACCGCCCAAGAG
rnacentral:rRNA from 1 species